UACAGAGGGUGCAAGCGUUAAUCGGAAUUACUGGGCGUAAAGCGCGCGUAGGUGGUUUGUUAAGUUGGAUGUGAAAGCCCCGGGCUCAACCUGGGAACUGCAUCCAAAACUGGCAAGCUAGAGUACGGUAGAGGGUGGUGGAAUUUCCUGUGUAGCGGUGAAAUGCGUAGAUAUAGGAAGGAACACCAGUGGCGAAGGCGACCACCUGGAAUGAUACUGACACUGAGGUGCGAAAGCGUGGGGAGCAAACAGG
rnacentral:rRNA from 1 species